rnacentral:rRNA from 1 species
UAAUACGGAGGGUGCAAGCGUUAAUCGGAAUUACUGGGCGUAAAGCGCACGCAGGCGGUUUGUUAAGUCAGAUGUGAAAUCCCCGAGCUUAACUUGGGAACUGCAUUUGAAACUGGCAAGCUAGAGUCUUGUAGAGGGGGGUAGAAUUCCAGGUGUAGCGGUGAAAUGCGUAGAGAUCUGGAGGAAUACCGGUGGCGAAGGCGGCCCCCUGGACAAAGACUGACGCUCAUGUGCGAAAGCGUGGGGAGCAAACAGGAUUAGAUACCCUGGUAGUCCACGCUGUAAACGAUGUCGACUUGGAGGUUGUGCCCUUGAGGCGUGGCUUCCGGAGCUAACGCGUUAAGUCGACCGCCUGGGGAGUACGGCCGCAAGGUUAAA